CUCCCCGGGUGGCACAGCUUUGGUCAUCCCUACCGAUCCCCUCCACUCGCACACACGCGUACUCAACCGAACCAGCAGUGGCAGCCCAUCAUGCAGGCUCGUCUUCGACGCUGCCUUCAAUGCAGCUCCGGAAGUGACGUUGUCUCGCUCUCCUCUGCUCAACCUCCGCAGCCUUCGACGUGGUCGUUGAUCCGGCGAGCGCCCCUCCUCCUCCUCAGCAGCGGCAGCGGUGUCACGUCCGUGCGCUGCUACUCACAUGAAGGAGAUUGCUCUUCCUCGCGCCGCACACCCGCUGCGGUAGCGCCUUCUACUGCCGCCCCCUCGGCGUCCCCUGACCCAGCGACAACAACGCUCGGUGCACUUCAGCGCUAUGUGCACCAACGCGACUACGGCGGCUGUGCGGCCUUCUACGAGCAGCACUUCAACCCAGCACAGCAGCACUUUAUAACCGACUUCUGCCAGGACUUUGUGGCCGACGCCCGCGACGCGCUAAUCACACUGAUGCGCGUGUACACCAACCUUGGACGCAUAGACAAGGUGCGUGAGGUGCUUGCCGUGGGCCUGCGCGACCUCGCCGCCCCAAAGGAGCCCAAGUUGGCAUCACCUGUGCAAUAUGCAUGGCUGGGCAGCAGCGCAAGGCGGCGGGACGGCGGCAACGCCACGGCUGCCACCGGUACCCCGCUGAAGUUGCAAGACGACCUCCUCGCCCCAGGUGCUGCCGCAAGGGGAGGCAGGUCAUGCGACACCAGCGCCAUCAUGUGGUGGCGCCGUCCCACCGUGCUCAACGCUGACGUCUUCAACGCGUACUUCGAGGCACUCACGCGGCGAAACAAGUACGCCGUGGAGGAGGUCGUCUUUGUGCUCGAUCAGAUGAAGGCGUGUGGUGUGGAGAAGGAUGCGUUGACGUACCACUACUUGGUGGAGCUGCACGUGCGAGCGGGCUACGACCCGACCGGGUUGUGGGAGGAGAUGAAGCAGCGGGAGCCGGAAGUGACCCCGCUGCCUGCCACGGUGCAGACGUUCAUGCUGCGCGUUGUGCCGUACAGCGCAGACCCGUCCCUCGUGGUGGAAAUAACACGCGCCGCCCUGCGGUACGGCACUGCCAUCGUGGACAAGCGCAUGCUGGCUGAGCUGAUGGUGCAGUGGCUGAGCCCAGUGCGUGCCCCCAACCACGGUGAGAGCAGCGGAGGCAGCGGCAGCCGGCACACCGCGGCGCAGGCAUCUCGCCUUGGACUCAGCACCGGCUCGCCGUCCUCCGCGGCGCAGUACCCGCCCGAGCACGUGCUUUGGCUCAUGCUGGAGCUGGAGCUGCGCUGUGUCUUGGAGAAGGCGAGCUUUAGCCAGUACGUUCAGCGCCAUUACUUCACGGAGUUGCUGCUGCGCUGUGCCAAGUGCACCGACGCGGGUACCGCGGAGCAGGUGCUUGCGCUGAUGGACCGGCACGCCAUCGCCAAGACAUCAGAAGUGCUGGCGCUGGUUGUGUGGUGCUGGUCGCAGGCACUGGAGAUUGAGAAGGCGCUCGAUCUUAUCGAGUGGAUGGCGCUCAAGGGCUACCUCGACCAGGUAGACUGCUUCCGCAAGGCGCAGAUCGAAUCGCUGCGCUACACAAUGGACCGCCACUACCUCAUGGCCUUCGCCGAUGCCAUCAACACGCCGGCGCUGGUGGAGCGUGCGCUGUCACAUCUCCAGGCGCGCCGGCAGAAGGGCGCGCUGGUGACGGUGCACACGCUUGACCUACUAGUGCUGGCGCUGGCUCGCAUCGGCGAGGAGCGCAAGGCGCUGCAGCUUGUCUCCGCCUACGAGCCUAGGUGGGGAGUGGCGCCACGCACGAACACAUACAACGCCCUCCUCACCGGCUGCUCGCGCCACCGCAGCACGAUGCUGCACCGCGUGGUGUACAAGACGAUGAAGAACAGCGGUGUUGUGCCAAACGUGCUGACGUUUCGCGUGCUCAUCCGCCAGGCCGUGAUGGCCGGCAACAUUGACGAGGCCAUCUUCUACCUGGAAGAAGUGACCGCCUACCCCGGGCUGCGGGUCGAGGUGGAGAUGAUCCUGCCGAUUUUGGAGAGGGCCGCCCGCGUCGGCGACGUGGAGACGGCCACCCGCGUCAGUCAGUAUUCUCUUAAGUGCGACAUCGGCAUCGACGGGAGCGUGCUGCGCAGCGUCAUGCAGCAACUGACGGAGGCGGGGCAGAGUGUGGAAGUGCUGAAGGGCCAACUGCCGCUGCACGAAGCGCUGCGGUCGCGCUCCAAGGCAGGCCGCCAGCGCGCCCGCAACGAAGUGCUCGUGUAGGCGGCUGUCAGGUACAAUGGCGAUGGACGGGUGAGUGAUGGAGGGGAAGGGACACCGGAGGUGCGCCGUACACCUCACCCCUUCGUCUUCCCUUUGUGUCUUGUUUUGCGCGCGUGUUGAAAUGAAAUGCUUGGUUGCCGUUGCCCUGUGCUGAGGUGCGCAUGGCGCUGAUCUUCAUAG
rnacentral:misc_RNA from 1 species